rnacentral:rRNA from 1 species
GGUUAAGCGACUAAGCGUACACGGUGGAUGCCCUGGCAGUCAGAGGCGAUGAAGGACGUGCUAAUCUGCGAAAAGCGUCGGUAAGGUGAUAUGAACCGUUAUAACCGGCGAUGUCCGAAUGGGGAAACCCAGUGCAAUUCGUUGCACUAUCGUUAACUGAAUACAUAGGUUAACGAGGCGAACCGGGGGAACUGAAACAUCUAAGUACCCCGAGGAAAAGAAAUCAACCGAGAUUCCCCCAGUAGCGGCGAGCGAACGGGGAGCAGCCCAGAGUCUGAAUCAGCUUGUGUGUUAGUGGAACGGUCUGGAAAGUCCGACGGUACAGGGUGAUAGUCCCGUACACCAAAAUGCACAGGUUGUGAACUCGAAGAGUAGGGCGGGACACGUGGUAUCCUGUCUGAAUAUGGGGGGACCAUCCUCCAAGGCUAAAUACUCCUGACUGACCGAUAGUGAACCAGUACCGUGAGGGAAAGGCGAAAAGAACCCCGGCGAGGGGAGUGAAAAAGAACCUGAAACCGUGUACGUACAAGCAGUGGGAGCACCUUUAUGGUGUGACUGCGUACCUUUUGUAUAAUGGGUCAGCGACUUAUAUUCUGUAGCAAGGUUAACCGUAUAGGGGAGCCGCAGGGAAACCGAGUCUUAACUGGGCGUUAAGUUGCAGGGUAUAGACCCGAAACCCGGUGAUCUAGCCAUGGGCAGGUUGAAGGUUGGGUAACACUAACUGGAGGACCGAACCGACUAAUGUUGAAAAAUUAGCGGAUGACUUGUGGCUGGGGGUGAAAGGCCAAUCAAACCGGGAGAUAGCUGGUUCUCCCCGAAAGCUAUUUAGGUAGCGCCUCGUGAAUUCAUCUUCGGGGGUAGAGCACUGUUUCGGCUAGGGGGUCAUCCCGACUUACCAACCCGAUGCAAACUACGAAUACCGAAGAAUGUUAUCACGGGAGACACACGGCGGGUGCUAACGUCCGUCGUGAAGAGGGAAACAACCCAGACCGCCAGCUAAGGUCCCAAAGUCAUGGUUAAGUGGGAAACGAUGUGGGAAGGCACAGACAGCCAGGAUGUUGGCUUAGAAGCAGCCAUCAUUUAAAGAAAGCGUAAUAGCUCACUGGUCGAGUCGGCCUGCGCGGAAGAUGUAACGGGGCUAAACCAUGCACCGAAGCUGCGGCAGCGACACUAUGUGUUGUUGGGUAGGGGAGCGUUCUGUAAGCCUGCGAAGGUGGCCUGUGAGGGCUGCUGGAGGUAUCAGAAGUGCGAAUGCUGACAUAAGUAACGAUAAAGCGGGUGAAAAGCCCGCUCGCCGGAAGACCAAGGGUUCCUGUCCAACGUUAAUCGGGGCAGGGUGAGUCGACCCCUAAGGCGAGGCCGAAAGGCGUAGUCGAUGGGAAACAGGUUAAUAUUCCUGUACUUGGUGUUACUGCGAAGGGGGGACGGAGAAGGCUAUGUUAGCCGGGCGACGGUUGUCCCGGUUUAAGCAUGUAGGCGGAGGUUCCAGGUAAAUCCGGUACCUUUUAACGCUGAGGUGUGAUGACGAGGCACUACGGUGCUGAAGUAACAAAUGCCCUGCUUCCAGGAAAAGCCUCUAAGCAUCAGGUAACAUUAAAUCGUACCCCAAACCGACACAGGUGGUCAGGUAGAGAAUACCAAGGCGCUUGAGAGAACUCGGGUGAAGGAACUAGGCAAAAUGGUGCCGUAACUUCGGGAGAAGGCACGCUGGUGUGUAGGUGAAGUCCCUGCGGA